GGGUUCGUAGCUCAGUUGGUUAGAGCGCCACAUUGACAUUGUGGAGGUCANNGCGUCGUUGACAUCGACGAGGUCAGAGGUUCGACUCCUCUCGGACCCA
rnacentral:tRNA from 1 species